GGAUAUGUUGCCAUGUAUCUGUAUCAUGAACGUACUGGACAAGAAGAAGUGCUUUACUAUAGCAAAGGAUUCAGAUCACCUGACAAUGUAGCACCACGGCAAAGAUACAACGGCAGGAUUCAGACAACAGGAUCUUUUAUGAGCCACAGCAUCACCAUCAGCAACCUGACUGUAGACGACACUGGACUCUACAGCUGUGUCUACGCAAAAGAAGUCAAGUAUCAAGUAAAAUGCGACGUCUAUGCAGUUAUUGUGACAGGUGCAGCAGUGCAGACGCAGCAGAAGAAUAGCAAGAAACAUUCAGUCGCUCUCCCAUGACUAUGUUUAUGAAGUUAUGACCAAGAACGGCUUCCAUCCUGAUGCAGCUCAAGAGGAUUCAUCACCGUAUGAAUUCUUGGCUUGUCAGACAUCUUCUUCCAGAGGGUUGGUUUAAUUUUUUUGUAUAAUGUUGUUUUGCAGGACUCAAUUUACUCAAAAAGUAAUUUUAAUCAACAUAUAUGAGAAAAAAGAUUAAUUCCGGUAACAGAGUCACCAAACUCAAAUGAAUCUUCAUAUUAUGAUGUAUUUUACAUGCAGAGAGUACAAUAGCUGUACAACAGUAAACAAACUAAUAAAAUAAAAUAAAAACUAUAUGAUGAACAGUCAAG
ensembl:lncRNA